GAACACAACUCGAACAUUUCCCGAACGAACCCCAAGCCAAGACCACGACCGCUUGUAAACGUGUCUCCGAGAAGGGUGUUUCUAAAUUACCAAUUAUAACCUUUUAAUUAGUUCUUCUUCGGUGUGGGAAAGUUAUUAGACCUUCUGGCUUCGCUUUGUUCCUUUGGAGAGGAGACCUGCAAGCCGUGGGUGUCCUGCAUAUCGGACAGGAUCUGGAGUGUCCUCAGCCGUGUGCAGGAUCGGCCCGUGUUCCUUGUGGUUCCGACGACGGCCUGUCACGACCGCCGCCCGAUCCAUCAUAGGACUUGGCUGGACCUUUUGCCUCUGCCCCGGCCGGCCUCAGCUGCCCUGCUUGUCGUGCCUAACCCCGGCGGUCUCGCUUCGCCCCUGCGGAGAAUGAUAUUGCGGUGGACGUACAAUUUUUCGCUAUUACUCUCAAAAGAAAAAAACAAACGGCAACUCAACUCUCUGAUCGAUAACGCCCCUUCAGACCCGUAACGUUCGCUGAUUGGCCUAGAGAGACCCAGCAAAUGCUCAUGGGCGGAGCCUAUGGGCCAUAACUUCCCCGAUUGGCCAGUAUUCUUAAAUUUGAAACGAGCUGAUUGGUUAGUCAUAAAAUAAAUCUCAUAACUUAAACAAGAUGGCGGUUUGAACAAAGUAACUCACGUGCGAGCAAACAUGUGAUAAUGGUAGCGCAGGUGAGACUCGCUUGUAUACAAACAGAACAGAUACGUGUGGAACCCAAUGCCUAAUUAUACAAUAA